AUAUUGUUUAAUAUAACCGUGCAUUCCAAUACCCAUACUACCAUACUGUUUAGUAUGAAAGAAAAAGAUUUAGUAUGACCCAAUACAUAGUAUGUCAAAUGCAGUAUGCCAAAAAUACCAGUAUGUCCUACUGCAUCUGGUCGUAUUUUGCAGUACGCAAGCCAGCAUGCUUUUCUGGCUAUUCUGAGCCACAAUCCUCUAACAGAUAUAUGAGCAAGAUGGUAAAAGUUCAAGGCGCCAUGUUAUGUUCAAGUAGUAUGUCCUGAUUGUAUGCAUACUGCAUGCAACAGUACGUACUUUGUAAGGGCAGCUGCAGUAUGUAGCCUACUAGAAGUAAAAAGAAAAAGUACGCGAUUUGG